UACAGGGCGGAUGCCUUGGCAAUCAGAGGCGAUGAAGGACGUGCUAAUCUGCGAAAAGCUUGGAUGAGUCGAUAAGAGGCGUUUAAUCCAAGAUGUCCGAAUGGGGAAACCCGAUGGAUGAAGAAUCCAUCAUUUCAUGGUGAAUACAUAGCGAUGAAAGGCGAACCGGGAGAACUGAAACAUCUAAGUACCCCGAGGAAAAGAAAUCAACCGAGAUUCUGUGAGUAGCGGCGAGCGAAAGCGGAAGAGCCA
rnacentral:rRNA from 1 species